GUCAAGCGAAUCAGGGUCCACGGAGGAUGCCUGGGAGCCGCCAGACGAAGAAGGACGCGGUCAGCUGCGAAAAGCCGGGGGGAGGAGCCGACAUCCGACGAUCCCCGGGUGUCCGAAUGGGGUAACCCGAAUGUCUGGAUGACAUUCGCCUAUGCGUGAACACAUAGCGACAUAGGUGGAAUACGCCGGGAAGUGAACCAUCUAAGUACCGGCAGGAAGAGAAAUCAAAACGAGAUUCCCCAAGUAGCGGCGAGCGAACGGGGAGGAGCCCAAACCCGCGGCGUGCCAAGGACAGGUCCGUUGCGUCGCGGGGGUAGCGGGAGCCGUCGGUGCAGCGCCUGUGCUGCACGUCGAGUGAGAAACCACGACUCUAGGCGAACGGUCUGGGAAGGCCGGCCAGAGGGGGUGAAAGCCCCGUAGCCGAAAGCGUCGUGGCUCGAUGGACGGAGAUCCCAAGUACGUCGGGACACGAGGAAUCCUGACGGAAGCAGGGGGGACCACCCUCCAAGGCUAAAUACGUGGCGGCUACCGAUAGCGCAUAGUACCGUGAGGGAAAGGUGAAAAGGACCCCGGGAGGGGAGUGAAAGAGAACCUGAAACCGUGGACCUGCAAGCGGUCAGAGCCCGAGAGGGUGAUGGCGUGCCUUUUGUAGAAUGAGCCUGCGAGUCUUCGUAUGCAGCGAGGUUAAGGCAUAGGAGUGCCGGAGCCGAAGGGAAACCGAGUCCGAAAGGGGCGUACAGUUGCAUGCGGAGGACCCGAAGCCAAGUGAUCUAUCCAUGGCCAGGCUGAAGCUGGAGUAGAAUCCAGUGGAGGGCCGAACCUAAAUCCGCUGAAAAGGGUUGGGAUGAGCUGUGGAUCGGAGCGAAAGACUAAACAAACUUGGAGAUAGCUGGUACUCCCCGAAAUAGCUUUAGGGCUAGCCUUGCGUGGACAGUCAUGGAGGUAGAGCACUGAAUGGAUGAGGGCCCUUCACCGGGUACCGAUUUCAAUCAAACUCCGAAUGCCAUGACCCAAUGCGCAGGAGUCAGACGGCGACUGAUAAGGGCCGUCGUCGAAAGGGAAACAGCCCAGACCGCCGGCCAAGGUCCCCAAUGUGUGCCAAGUGGGAAAGGAAGUCCGAUUGCGAAGACAGCCAGGAGGUUGGCUCAGAAGCAGCCACACCUUCAAAGAGUGCGUAACAGCUCACUGGUCGAGUAGCCGGGCGCCGACAAUUCAACGGGGCUAAGCACACAACCGAAGCCGCGGCUCAGUACUUUGUGCUGGGGGUAGGGGAGCAUUCCAUGUACGGACGAAGGUGCGCCGCAAGGCGAGCUGGACGGGAUGGAAGAGAGAAUGCAGGCAUGAGUAACGAAAAGAUGGGUGGGAUCCCCAUCCGCCGAAAGCCUAAGGUUUCCAGGGUAAAGGUAAUCUACCCAAGGGUUAGUCGGCCCCUAAGGCGAGGACGAAGGUCGUAGCCGAUGGGAAACGGGUCAACAUUCCCGUACCUCUCAACGAAUCGAUGGGACGAAGCAUAGGGCGAAGCGCAGCGGGGCGACGGUUGUCCCCGUCCAAGCGUCCGAGCGGGAGAGGCCUCCAGGCAAAUCCGGAGGCUGACGCGAGGCGCGAACGCGAGCGGACCUACGGGCGAGCGAAGUGCGUGACGUCGUCGUGCCGGGAAACAGUCUCUAAGGUGCGUCGUUGAGGGACCGUACUACAAACCGACACAGGUGGGCGAGCUGAGAAUGCGAAGGCGUACGGAAGAACUUGCGUUAAGGAACUCGGCAAAAUGCAUACGUAACUUCGGGAUAAGUAUGGCCGCGAGAGCGGCUGCAGAGAAACGGCCCAUGCGACUGUUUACCAAAAACACAGGUCUAUGCGAACCAGCAAUGGGAAGUAUAUGGACUGACACCUGCCCGGUGCUGGAAGGUUAAGGGGAGUCGUCAGCGCAAGCGAAGCGGCGAACCGAAGCCCCAGUAAACGGCGGCCGUAACUAUAACGGUCCUAAGGUAGCGAAAUUCCUUGUCGGGUAAGUUCCGACCCGCACGAAUGGUGUAACGAUAUGGGCGCUGUCUCAACGCAAGAUCCGGUGAAAUUGAAGUCCAGGUGAAGAUGCCUGGUACCUGUGGUUAGACGGAAAGACCCCGUGAACCUUUACUUCAACUUAGCAUUGAUGACUGAUCCGUCUUGUGUAGGAUAGGUGGGAGCCGGAGAUCCGUGGCCGUCAGGCUGCGGGGAGGCGACGGUGAAAUACCACCCUGGACGGUUCAGUCCUCUAACCCUCGCCGUGAUCCGGUGCGGGGACAAUGCUAGGCGGGAAGUUUGACUGGGGCGGUCGCCUCCCAAAGGGUAACGGAGGCGCGCGAAGGUCACCUUAGUCUGGUUGGGAAUCAGACGUCAAGUGCAAAGGCACAAGGUGGCUUGACUGCGAGGCUCACAGGCCGAGCAGGUACGAAAGUAGGUCUUAGUGAUCUGGCGGUGGCAAGUGGAAGCGCCGUCACUUAACGGAUAAAAGGUACUCCGGGGAUAACAGGCUGAUCUUGCCCAAGAGUUCAUAUCGACGGCAAGGUUUGGCACCUCGAUGUCGGCUCAUCGCAUCCUGGGGCUUGGAGCAGGUCCCAAGGGUUUGGCUGUUCGCCAAUCAAAGCGGUACGCGAGCUGGGUUCAGAACGUCGUGAGACAGUUCGGUCCCUAUCUGCCACAGGCGUUGGAUGUUUGAGAGGCCCUGCUUCUAGUACGAGAGGACCGAAGUGGACGAACCUCUGGUGUAUCUGUUGUCGUGCCAACGGCAGGUGCAGAGUAGCUACGUUCGGAAGGGAUAAGCGCUGAAGGCAUCUAAGUGCGAAACCCCCCUCAAGAUCGAACAUCCCUGGCCUUGAGCCAAUAAGGAACCAGACAGACUAUCUGGUCGAUAGGCCGCGGAUGCAGGCGCAGCGAUGCGCACAGUCCAGCGGUACUAAUCAUCCGAACGGCUUGACC
rnacentral:rRNA from 1 species